UUAGAGCAGAGGGGCCAUGAUUCCUGGGCUCCAUUCCCACCGCUGUCACUGAUUCAUUUCAUGACUAAUCGAGUGGACCGUUGCAUGAACAUCGUAUUCAGUUCUCAGGUGUACGGGAUUUCUGACAGUUCAGGAGCUGCAAUUCAGCACCGCUGAUAAUGCUACAAUAUGUAACACUAAAGCCUUUGGUUAUGAGAACGUGAGCCAUUAAACUCAAAGAAGCAGGUUGGUUCCACUCUUCCUUCUCAACUGCACUCUCUGAGCUGCCUUACCAUGGCUCUUCAUCAUAGCCUGUCAGAUAACUAGAAGUGUCUGCUGCCUGGGACAGGGACCGUCUUUGACAAAAAAGUCUGAUGUCCGAAGCAACAGGAUCAUAAUGCCUUCCAUCCAAAAAAACCAGGAUUCAUUUCCCCCAUCAGUGGUUACACAAAUGGUAGAAAUGGCUGCACUUCUACCAAAAAUGAGGUAGUUGCUCGACUGUUCACAACUCUCAGUGUUGGAGCCUUGAGUCAAUCAGUCUAAAGGCGGCCAUCAAGCACCAACAAAUAUAGUGACUUCAUGAAAGGAUGCCCAAAAAACUUCCAACGUUGCUAUCUUCAGUGAUCUACCCAAAAAGCAGAAAGGCAUUCUCUUUUCUCUCAGAGAAACACUUUACAGGACACAUUGGAAUUUGGCCAGAUGAUCAAGACUGAAGGCACAGGAUUUGGGGGUUUGGGGAGUGGAUAUGGACAGGUUCCUAUUUGUGCCCUACGGAUGAACCUAAAACUAGCAAAUCCAUAAACAUGCUCUUGCCAUUAAAAAAAAAAAAGUAUCAAAUUCAGAUGCUUAAUGAAAUUAUAUUGUUUUUCUAGGUGAUCCACUGCCAGUGAGGUAUUCUUUCAAAACUCAGAGAGUCUUAAAUGAAUAGCAGACAAGUUUUGCAAGAGGAUCAGGGAGAUUCAGUAUCCACGCCAGCAAAAACCACAGCAAUCUCACUUAGCUUAUGAAAUGCGACACAGGAACAAGAGGAGGAACAAUGAAUAAUACUAAGAAGAGCUGAGAUCACAGACUACAAUGCUUUCAGGUGGCACAAAUAAUUCUAAGAUGCAAAUUGAAAAACAUUGCCUGUAAUUUACUUAAACAGCACUACUUAAAGUUUGUUCAAACUCAUUUAAAUGAAUGGUGGUUGUCUCUAGACGCAGUGAAUAAAUAACCAAUGUACCCUCAUGCUGAAAUAUGCCUUAAGUGGAAACACAAAUAGACACUGUUUCUACCUCUUUGGAGAAUUUAUAUAGCCUUGAU